AACACUGUAAUUUAGCUAAAAGAUUAAAGGGAUGAUAGUACAGAAUGGACAAUAACAUGGCUGGAGAUGGAUUUAGUAUUUGUCCUAGAGGCAAUCAGGAGUUCCUGAAAGAUUCUGAGUGGAGUUGCUGACUCACCCAACUAGAAAAACCUUACAAAGAAUUUAAUCUAAGAUUUUUCACUGAUGACAGAAGAGUAAUAGCUCACAUUUGUAUAGUGCUUAACUGUGACAAAGGAAACACAUAAAAGAACAAGGGCUCAGAGGGGUAGAAGUGGAAGGAAUUUAAAGAUCAUCUGAUCCAGCGAAGGAAGAAAAUGACUCCCCCCGAGGUUAAGUGACUUCCCUAAAGUCAUCUGACUUGAGAGAUGGUGCUCAAGCCACCAUCCCAAGCAUCUUCCCAUCAUCUCACUUGAUGAUAUGUCCAACCCUGGGAUCCAGGCUUGUUGCUCAGAAUUUAAAAGUGAGUCUCUCUUUCUUAGUCUCAAAAAGAAGAAGAAACAUGCCUCCAGUCACACAGUUAAUAAAUGAUGAAGCCAUCCAGUUCUUCAGAUGUUAAGUCCAGCAUGAUCAUUUUUUUUUUAUUUUUAAAAAUUUGACAAAUUCUCUACCCGAAAGUAAUUAAGAAUACCACCAUGAGUGAAGUACACAUUUUCAUUGUUCCAUACAACAGAUGUAUUGCAGAAAAAUUACAU